CCCGGCUAGCUCAAUCGGUAGAGCGUGAGACUCUUAAUCUCAAGGUUGUGGGUUCGACCCCCACGUUGGGCG
rnacentral:tRNA from 1 species